rnacentral:misc_RNA from 1 species
GAUGAAGAACGUAGCGAAAUGCGAUACGUAGUGUGAAUUGCAGAAUUCAGUGAAUCAUCGAAUCUUUGAACGCACAUUGCACCUCUCGGUAUUCCGGGAGGUAUGCCUGUUCGAGCGUCAUUUGUACCCUCAAGCUCUGCUUGGUGUUGGGUGUUUGUUCCGCCUCUGUGUGUGAACUCGCCUCAAAACAAUUGGCAGCCGGCGUACUUGUUUCGGAGCGCAGCACAUUUUGCGAUCCAGGUCAACGUACAGCGGCAUCCAAGAAGCCUUAUUUAACGCUCUUGACCUCGGAUCAGGUAGGGAUACCCGCUGAACUUAAGCAUAUCAAUAAGCGGAGGA